GCGUGGGUGGCGGAAUUGGUAGACGCGUACGUUUGAGGGGCGUAUGCCGUAAGGCGUGAGGGUUCAAUUCCCUCCCCACGCACCA
rnacentral:tRNA from 1 species